CACGUAGGCGGGUAAUUAAGUCGGGUGUGAAAUCCCUCGGCCCAACCGAGGAACUGCGCCCGAUACUGGUUACCUUGAGGGCAGGAGGGGAGCGUGGAAUUCCUGGUGGAGCGGUGAAAUGCGUUGAUAUCAGGAGGAACACCGGUGGCGAAGGCGACGCUCUGGCCUGCUUCUGACGCUGAGGUGCGAAAGCCAGGGGAGCAAACG
rnacentral:rRNA from 1 species